rnacentral:rRNA from 1 species
ACCGGCAAACGGGUGCGGAACACGUACACAACCUUCCUUUUGGUGGGGGAUAGCCCAGGGAAACUUGGAUUAAUACCCCGUAAUAUCUUUUAACGGCAUCGUUUGGGAGAUUAAAGAUUUAUCGCCGGGAGAUGGGUGUGCGUAUGAUUAGGUAGUUGGUGUGGGUAAUGGCCCACCAAGCCGACGAUCAUUAACUGGUGUGAGAGCACGACCAGUCACACGGGCACUGAGACACGGGCCCGACUCCUACGGGAGGCAGCAGUAAGGAAUAUUGGUCAAUGGACGGAAGUCUGAACCAGCCAUGCCGCGUGGAGGAUGAAGGUCCUCUGGAUUGUAAACUUCUUUUAUAGGGGGCGAAAAAGGGCCUUUAUAGGUCAACUGACGGUACCCUAUGAAUAAGCACCGGCUAACUCCGUGCCAGCAGCCGCGGUAAUACGGAGGGUGCAAGCGUUAUCCGGAU